CUUAGCGCGCCAGUUUCAAAGAUGGAAAGGGCCUGGCGUCUCCCCAGGCUUCUAGCACGCCAGUCAGGCCCUUGGAGCUGAACCAGCAACCCGAGCGAAGCCGAGAAAAGCCUACGACGCUCCGUAACGGCCCUCCACCCCCAUCUUCAAUGGCCGGUAGCCGUGCUUUGGUUUGUUGCGUCCAACACACACUGGGCUCCGGUUUAGCUCUUGCUCCCAGCGAGGGACUUGGAACGUAGCAGGUGGUUCAGUGACCGUAGACUCUCGAGAGGAGUACGCCACAGGUGGAGGAAGAGGUGCUUCAUGGUUCCUUAAUACUCUAGUUUCAGAGAUCCGCAAUCAGCAGAACCAGUGAAGAUCCCCAGUUUUGGUCAGCGUAGACCCUACUCCUGUAUACUGCAGAACUCUGCCUUCUCCUAGAAGGCCCUGGCGAUAACGCCUUUCAGGUCGCACCGGGCGACCUUUCUGAAGUUCCUUCCUCACUGCCACAGACCUGGGGACCAGGAUUUUUGAUGCACAGCUCUCCUGUGAGGAGGCUUUUGCCAAAGAGCUUCACCAGUUAUUUCCCCACUGAUCUUAGCAUCAAAGGGGGAAAUUGCAAGAUGGGAAUUAAUUUAAAUUUCUCUUAUGACAGAGACUGGGUCAAUGCCGCACCCAAUACAUAUAAAACAAAUGCUGGCUUGGUUGAAUGGACUAACUGGUUGCUCAGUGGAGCAAGGACAGGCGUUUUGCCUAUUCUGGAUUCUCAGCGGGCUUCUAGGAUCAAUUGUGCAGUGGACUCGGUGAGGUGAGCUGGGAAUCAGAGAACGUUUGUUCCUUCCUUCCCGUAUUAAAUAAGUAUCUAUUGAGUACCCA